GACGAACGCUGGCGGCGUGCCUAAUACAUGCAAGUCGAACGCUGAAGGAGGAGCUUGCUUCUCCGGAUGAGUUGCGGACGGGUGAGUAACGCGUAGGUAACCUGCCUGGUAGCGGGGGAUAACUAUUGGAAACGAUAGCUAAUACCGCAUAAGAGUAGAUGUCGCAUGACAUUUGCUUAAAAGGUGCAACUGCACCACUACCAGAUGGACCUGCGUUGUAUUAGCUAGUUGGUGAGGUAACGGCUCACCAAGGCAACGAUACAUAGCCGACCUGAGAGGGUGAUCGGCCACACUGGGACUGAGACACGGCCCAGACUCCUACGGGAGGCAGCAGUAGGGAAUCUUCGGCAAUGGACGGAAGUCUGACCGAGCAACGCCGCGUGAGUGAAGAAGGUUUUCGGAUCGUAAAGCUCUGUUGUAAGAGAAGAACGAGUGUGAGAGUGGAAAGUUCACACUGUGACGGUAUCUUACCAGAAAGGGACGGCUAACUACGUG
rnacentral:rRNA from 1 species